rnacentral:rRNA from 1 species
CCCAAGUCGAGCGGUAACAGAGAGUAGUUUACUAUUCUGCUGACGAGCGGCGGACGGGUGAGUAAUGCCUAGGAAUCUGCCUAGUAGUGGGGGAUAACUUGCCGAAAGGUAAGCUAAUACCGCAUACGUCCUACGGGAGAAAGGAGGGGACCUUCGGGCCUUUCGCUAUUAGAUGAGCCUAGGUCGGAUUAGUUAGUUGGUGAGGUAAUGGCUCACCAAGACCGCGAUCCGUAACUGGUCUGAGAGGAUGAUCAGUCACACUGGAACUGAGACACGGUCCAGACUCCUACGGGAGGCAGCAGUGGGGAAUAUUGGACAAUGGGGGGAACCCUGAUCCAGCCAUGCCGCGUGUGUGAAGAAGGUCUUAGGAUUGUAAAGCACUUUAAGUUGGGAGGAAGAGCAGUUAACUAAUAUUUGACUGUUUUGACGUUACCGACAGAAUAAGCACCGGCUAACUUCGUGCCAGCAGCCGCGGUAAUACGAAGGGUGCAAGCGUUAAUCGGAAUUACUGGGCGUAAAGCGCGCGUAGGUGGUUCGUUAAGUUAGGAGUGAAAGCCCCGGGCUCAACCUGGGAAUUGCUUCUAAAACUGGCGAGCUAGAGUAUGGUAGAGGGUGGUGGAAUUUCCUGUGUAGCGGUGAAAUGCGUAGAUAUAGGAAGGAACAUCAGUGGCGAAGGCGACCACCUGGACUGAUA